rnacentral:rRNA from 1 species
ACAGCAGUAGCCGCGGGAAUACAGAGGGUGCAAGCGUUAAUCGGAAUUACUGGGCGUAAAGCGCGCGUAGGUGGUUUGUUAAGUUGGAUGUGAAAGCCCCGGGCUCAACCUGGGAACUGCAUCCAAAACUGGCAAGCUAGAGUACGGUAGAGGGUGGUGGAAUUUCCUGUGUAGCGGUGAAAUGCGUAGAUAUAGGAAGGAACACCAGUGGCGAAGGCGACCACCUGGACUGAUACUGACACUGAGGUGCGAAAGCGUGGGGAGCAAACAGGAUUAGAGACCCCGGUAGUCCCUGUCUCUUAUAC